UACGCCUCUUAAAGGCUCCGCGAGAGGUUGAGGAUGGAGCCGAAGACUUAGUCUCUCGCAACUUGGCUUUGCAACUAAAUGCGCGGCUCGCUCUCCACCCGGGACUCCCGGCGCAUUAUGUAGAGCCCACGAUACCAAAGACGGAGAGCGCUUCCUUCUUCUUUGUAGAGGGGUACGCAACGGAGGUGGCAAGGUGCCGGGAUCUGAGCUUGCUAAAGAAAUAUUUGGCUAGAUCCGUGUGGUGGCAGAUCCUUUGCUUAAUGAACUCUCAUCACUUGCUCAGUUUAGGAGCUCCUUUUUGUUUGUUUGUUUUAUAGGGGAAAGAAGUCGUUCAAUAUCUGCUUUUUUCUUUGGAGGGUUAAUAUUUUAUAAAUUUGUGGCCUGACAUUUUAAUUGCUCAAAUGGAGCAUCUCGGAUGCUGAGAAGCACAAGUAGACUUCACUUCAUUGUCAUGACGCAAUUAAAAUAAAUUCCCCUCAACUUUAUCCUCUCUCAUUGGUUUUAGCUAACUGGCCAGCCAGUGACCUGUCACACACCCGGUCAUGAAAAGAGAGCAAAAGACCUGUCUGUCCGCUGAUGGACAGGCACAGGCAGCCGCUCAGCUUCGCCUGUGCACACCCUCCGUACACACAUGUAAACGCACAUGUAUCAGAUGCACAUUUGUCAAUGUACACAGACAAAGACGUCCAAGACGAUGCUUCUAGGUCACAGAACAGUUGAAUACGGACUUCAUUGUUCAAAUUCUCUUUAAACAUCCAUAUAGUCAUCAAAACACACCGAGAGAGCCUGCUCCCAGUUGGAAAUAUCACCAACAGAACUCACAAGAACCACACACAAACCGUAGUCUUCCUCCAGAGAGUCACGGUAGAAAAAAACAGUACCCCAACCUAUCUCACCCUGCUCAGGAUGCUCAAGCCUUUGACAUCGCUGUGUCUUUGAAAGUGUGCCUGAGUUUUGGACAUCAAAUAUAUAGAACCACCCCCAGGACACAUUUGAUUCCACGGACUAAACUUGCUGUUAGAUUAGGACCAGUUAGUUGAUUGUGAGGAUUCCACAUUUGUAUGAGAAAUCUGUGUUUAAUAGGGAGUCCCUUGCAUCAAGCCAAAACUUGAUCCAUAAGUCAAAAUGGUUUAUCAGCAAUGAAAUUAUUUUCUCACAAAAGAUGCUGGGGAAAAAAGAGGACACCACAAGGAGUGAAUUGAGAACUACACAAGAGCAUCCUUGACAGCAUGAACAUUUGGCAAUGUAAAGUUACUUCAAUAAAAAUAAGCCUGUCGUGUAAUUGCCAUGGAGAGACUGCACUUUCGGGCAGUUUCUUUUACACACACAGGCAGGGUGUGAGAUGAGGAGGACAUGAAGAUGUGGGCAGACAGAAGCUGGCUUUUCGGCAAGGAAAAAAAAUCCUAUUUUUUUUUAAAAAAGUCCUUCUUAGCCUUCUCUUUUUUUUCUACUGAAAUCACAUAUUGCACUGAAGUGGCAGGUGCUGUAAUUAUUUGAAUGUUUUAAGAAAUAACAAGCUAUAGCAGGUACUAGACUAUCAUAAACCUGGUGUGUUCAAUAAGGUGGCCACACAGUAAGACCAGGCUGAGCGUCUCUGGCUGGUUAGAGAUACCACAUAACUCUCCUACAGAGAACAAGAAAGGAAGAAGGAAAAAAAAAAUCAGAGAAGUCGGUUUUUUUUCUUUUAAUUUUUCUGAUUUGGGGAAUUAUCUGAUGCUAAAAAAAUAUCAGAUUAUAGAGGCGAGCUCAGCAUAUAGUGAGCCUGAGGUUGACACAGGAAAUCUAAUAGGUAUUCCCAUCUCGACUUAAUAGAUGGGCAUAAUUGAUUAUAGAGAAACGUUAAUCGUGCCUCUCCAGUGCAGCCAUUUUCAUGGCAAGAUUACUUUUUGCACACACACGGAGAUGAUUUUUGAGGAGGAGAAAUUUCAUACAUGUAUUUAUAUGUAUAUGCAUGUAUAUAUGUACAUAUAUAUAUUGAAGGCUAUAAUUUCAUUAGGUAGAAAAAUCAAGAUUUUUCCCUUUUACAGAACUGUAGCCAGCUAGACACACGGCCACACAGCUACCAUCAAGUCAGGGGUGCUUCACUUUGUAUUUUUGAACUCAUUUAGCUAUAGAAAUGCUAUUUAGAAGGGGAAGAAAAAAAAUCACCAUAUGAAUUGUAGUUAAUUUAAUGAGUGGAUGAAGAGACAGGACAGCCAGACUGAGGAAUUUAAAAAAAAAAAAGCAAAAAUAUUUUUAAAUGCCCUUUUCAAAGAUGCUCAGUUGUCUUAACUCUAAGAUUUAAAAAUCCUGACUAAAAGAUACCUAUCUACAUAUUAUUUUUUAAAAAAAACUUAACCAAGCCUUUUACUACAAAUGUAAAUUUAUUUUAAUGAGAAUUGUGGCAAGCUUUAUCUGACUGGUCAAAGUUAGGGAAAAAACCAUUUGUCUUAAUCUGAAAAAAAAAAAAAGUCUCUAACUCCCAGGAAUAUGGUUUCCUUGCAGAAAGUGGUUGGCUGGUCUGUAAUUCUUUACAGAUUAAAUCACAAUAUGAAUACAGACCCCAGCAAUGCCGAGUUUAACUCUGAGCUCAGUAGAAUCCAGGAUCCAUUGAAUUUCUCCUCUCCCUCCAUCUAGUCGUGUGUGUUUUUCUCUUCCACCACACUGGCGCUCCGUGAAUAGGGAAGGGGCUUCCAUUGUGUCCCUCUGAACUUCCAAGUCAAUGCAAUUUUUAACCACUGGCUUGUGGUACUUUGAAAAUCACCAGGGGCUGUCAGAGUUGGGUCCUCUGAAAAAUUUACAGUGCUAAAUCAGAGCAUAUGCUGGGAGGGAAGAAUUGCUUAAGAUUGGAGCAAGUACAGUAUCUGUCUGCCCCCUAGUGUAAGAGUCCUCGCUGCCUAAAACCCAACUUUAUAAGAAAAGGAGCCCUUAAAGGGAAACGACUUGGGGCUCAUGUAGGCAUAGGAGAAUGAAACUUCUGUACAUUUUAAUCUGAAUAAUUCUUCAGGAUUUAAAAUUAUUUGUCUGUGGCUUGGUUGGACUGCACUCGGAUCUCGCCGGUUCUACGUUUCUCGUUUCUCGAGUCACUGGUGAAGGGAUGAUUUUUUUUUUUUUUGAACUGGGUUUAUGUGCGUCCCCCUCACCCCUCCUCUCUUUUUCUCUCUGCCUCUGUCGUCUCCCUCGCUGGCUUUUUAAAAAUGAAGAACCGUUCCAUGAUCAUUUUGCACACAGCACAGAAUUGCUUCUUAAGUCAGCCCGGCGCGGUUGCAAUAGACAGCAAAAAGGUAAACCGUUUGCCUGAAUUCAGCACGCCAGCACCACCACCCCGCCCGAUGAUCCACUACUCCCUUAAUGGAAAAGCAAAAACGAGAGAGUGGAUUUGCUGGCCUAACUUUGGGACCUCACAGUUAUCGAAUGCUCUGGCGAAUUAAGAGGACUCGAGGUCUGUAGCAGCAUGGGAGACUGAAACCACUGAGAUGGAACACCUUUUCUCUUGGUCCCCAAACUGUGAAUCAAUACCACUUUGACAACAUGGUAUUGUUGUCCUGUCAUGCUUCUUAUUCAACGAGUAUAUUUAUUUGGUCCUCUGGCUAUUUCUGCAUUAUAACUUUUUUGUUUGAAUGGUGGUGGGACUUGAGACAGGGUUUCUCUGUGAAGGCCUGUAGACCAGGCUGGCCUUGAAAUCACAGAGAUCCUCCUGCCUCUGCCUCUGCCACCCUAGUGCUGGGAUUUUGUUUCUGUGAUAUGAUACUUUGUGUGAGUUGUGAACUGAUUGUAAUGUGGAAUUUUUUCCAAGUCUCUAUCACAAUUAUUUCUUGCGACACUUAUAAAGCUAAUCAGUUGGAUAGCCAGAACUAAUAAUCAAUCCUACAGUAAGAAUGAAUUUGGUACUACACACCUGCAAUCCCAGUUCUCAGAAGGUGAAGACAGACAGAUCAGCAGUUCAAGGUCACGCUCAGCCGCAUAGCAAGCUUCGAGUUAGCCAGGGCUACAGGAGACCCUGUGUGCAAAAAUGAACAAGUAAAAAUGAAUCUUUACUUUCUAUUAGAUCGCAGCAGCAGUACUCUGCCCAAUUGCUAUUUAUUUCAGCUCUCCUCUGAUGGUUUCCAGCAAGAAAACCUUCCCUUUCCUUCCCGUCCCAAAUUGUCUUUGCUUGGUCACUGCCUGCUUGGGGAACGCCCGUCUGGGUUUAAUCAGAAGUUACAAGACAAAAUGUGCAUUAUUAAGAAAUAUAAAUAUUUUCAGAAGCAAUUAAAGGGAUGAAAGAUUGAUUCAUCGUGUAGAUUAGAUGUAAUUUGAAGCGGCUUGUUCUAAUGAGAGCUACUGGGACCUAAAGUCAGGAGCUGGCUUGGCCACCAGUUAGAAAUCCCAAGCAUUCACAGUAGUAACUUGUAAGCGGUUCUCAUUUCUGAUAUGCCCAGACACUUUUUUUUUUCUUGCCAAUGUCUGGGCUAAAAUUCCUUCCUUACUCUGCUUCGGGACUUAUAACAGCCACCUUUGAGAAAUCGUGACUAAUUCUUUCUUCUCUUUAGCGCGUGUAUAGAAGGGAGCACCUUCCAUUUUACAACCCCGGAAGUUGGCUCAGCACUAACUUUCAUAAAAACAUUUUGGCCUGGAGGCGUCUGUAUUACAAUUUCUUUCCUUGGCUUAAUAAAAGGUAUCACAUUAUCUACCUGGCCAAUCUCUAUUGGCUUUUAAAAUUGAGACAUGGAAAAACCUAAUAAGCCUCAUCAGGAUAUCUGCUUUAAAACAGAACAAAACAAAACAAAAAAAACCAUAACACACACAUAUGCACACACACACUCAGUCACUUACAUACAUAAAACCACCACCACCAACAACAACAACAACAAAAAACCCAGGCUGCCUCAUUUAGCACAUUUACUUGAAACAUCCCAGCAGAGCUGGGUGGCCUGGACUUGAAUACAGGUAUCCUAAUUUGAAAUCUUUGUUUGUCUGGUAGUUCUGGGGGGGGAAAAAAAAGAGGGUCUCUGCCUAAUAUGUAGGUGGAAUUUUAAUACACAGGGGAUCAAAACCUGAUUGUUGUAUUUUGUUUUUAUUUUCUUUCUUUCUUCCCUUUAAUCCCACCUUUUGUCCCCGUGGCUGCGUGUGAGAGAUGGCUUGAUUUUUCUAGGGAGGCUUCUCCCAACCACAGCUGGAAGUCCAAAGAGGACCGAAAAUGUCUUUAAAUCAACACAAGUCCAGGAGCCUGAGAGAACAAGUUUUCCUUUGUUAUGGGGGAUAGUAUUAUUUGCUGUAGGUUUUUUUUUUUGAUAUACAUUCUAAAUUAGGCCUGCAAAGGCAUGCUUCAUCUUUAAUUCAUCACUCUCAGCUGAAAGAGAUUAGCAAUGUCUAGCACGCACCCCUCGUAUGGUGCUGACCUCAUCAAGUAUAGCCUGAAAUUAAUUAGCCUCAUUCAUUCCAAAUGGACAAGGAUAAUGGAGCAGCAGCGGUCUUAGCGAUGACCAUCACACAUUGUAUGCGGCAUGUUUAAAAGGCCUUGAUUUUCAAGCCAUGUAGAUUAAAAUUCUUUCCAGAGCUCACAACAUGCCUGAGUUAUCAAGGACCUAGAGCAGAGAGCCCUGUCGCUUUUGGACAUGCGUGGUAGCGCAUGUGGCUUGUAUGUGCCACGGGUCUUUUGCCCGUUUCUGUUAGCUAUGUCUGCGUUCUGGUUUGCCCUCCAGAAUCACACCUGGAGUACUUGACCAGCAGAAAACCUGACGCUCAGUCCUGUGUGCACAGAUCCGGUAGCCCUGUUAGCAUGCUGAGUGCAUGUCUUUGAUUGCUACACAGAAGACACGGACAGAGAAAAUGCUGCAGCUAUUUCACCAAAAUCCUUGUCAGUCUCUAAUGUGGACACAGAACAGUUCCUUAAAGGAAGACUCAACUUUUCUAUUUGGAGUUAUUUUUGAAACUUCCAAUGUCUUUUCCCAGUCUUUACUGUUUUGAUCAUAUUUUAAAACAUGACCGAGGAUCAAGUUAGAAGAGCAAGUCCCUUCAAUUUACCAUCUUACUAAGAUUAGCUUAUUUUUUUUUCCCCUUCUGGGGAUUGACUAAGAGAGGCCAAAUUUUUGAAUAUCAAAAUGGCUUUCUUUUUGAGCCAAAAAAAUCUUGACUUGAGUUCUUUGGGAUCCUCAAAGACAUCGUAAACUUUAUUUUUAUGGACAGUACUUUGGGACUAUAGAUCAGAAGAAAGAACCCGUGACUUCUGUGUUUUUAGGUUUUAAUUUUUAAAUGGUAAGAAAUAUAGUCAGUUUCUGAAAAAGGUACCAGAAGCAUUUUGGUGGCCGGGAUCUUUAUAUAGUGUACAUUUCUUAAGAAAAGAAUUAUCCUAGAAUAACUUUGUCUGGCGAAAUAAAGAAAUAGAUUUUCAGUGUAAUUUAACAGCAAAACUUUCAUUUAGUCAAACUUGCAGUUUUAGGGAAGUAAUCUUUUCAGAGAUGGUUGAUGUACUAAGCUGCACGUGUGUUACUUAAGAGUAUUUUGUCGUAUGAUACAACAAAAAUUGGAAGUAUGCGUUCCCUCUUCCUAUAGACAGAAGAGGUACCCUUUUCUCCAAACUCACUCUUGCUCAUUGUUUAUGGCAGAAGCCGUUUCUUUCUACUGGCCAGUAAUCGCCUAUGUGCAGAAGCUCAUCAAUCAGUAACGGUGAACCUAUCAUUCGGAUGUCAAAGAUUUGCCUUUAGAUCUUCCCAAACCUCUGGCACAUGAUUGGAGGAAAUUAGCUUAAAGUCUGGGCUUCUGCUCUCUAGAGGAAUAAGAAGUAAAAGAGGAGGGAAGAUUAACUUAUACAAGUUUGAUGUUACAGUCACAGUUUAGCAGAGCCUGGGAUCAGCAAUGGCGUACUGAUGACCUGCAAAGGUCGAGAGAAAUAGAGGUGAAGAUAGCAGACAUGCUCUAAACGCAAGGGUUAGCGUUAUGAAAUGUGAGUUCAUUCAAAUGACAAACUCAAAGCAAGAUUCAGAUGGACUUACCAGAUCUCAAUUGGUGCCCAGGAAAACCACAAAUCUUUAACCUUCCAGCAUUCGAAAGUGGAAGAGGGAGGCAUUAAAAUGUAAACAAGCGUGGGAAUACCCGUACCUCAACUCACUGCCUUUGGGAUACGAGGACUGGAACCCAGGACUUUGCACACCUCAGGUGAUCUUUCUGCCAUAGAGCAAAACCUCCAGUCAACAGAGCAGUUUUCAGCAAAGAGAACAUGAAUGAAAAAUUGUCAGCUAACAUCUGAAGGACGCUUCAUGAGCCCAGGCCCUGUGUUAAGCUGUGCAUUAAGGUUCUAUCACAGAAUGAAGAAGGUGCGGACACUUACCCGUGGGUGGAGGCUUGGAGGACAUUGUUCAGGUUCCUGCUGAAGCCAGAGUUCUGGAGAUAGACGGCUGGUCAAGGAAAUGAAGGCCAUAGGAAGACUCACUUAAAAAAAAAAUUCCUGGAAGAAAACUGUUCAAAGUGUCAUCUACCACGUGGGCGGCUCUGCUCUGUCCUCUCCAUAAACACCACCAGCGAAGCGGCCACACUGGGAGUUCCUGAGCCCUGGAGAAGAUUUGCCAAAGAAACUUACUUCUAAGGAGGCCCGUGAUCUCAGGAAAAUGAUCAGCAGAUAAAUCAACUCAAGAGAUUCAGAUGCUCUACAGUCUCCAGCAUCCAGAGCAGGACCGGCGCUGUUUGCUCCACCUUCAUGUUGUUGGCUAACAGUGGACUUAACAGACUUACCAGGGGAAGACUGCUCUUCUGAUUGGAGGCUAGGAGGCGGCCCUUCCCUUCUCUGACGUCAUUCUGCCAGAAUGGAUAAGGUUCCCGAUGCAGCUGCUAUCUGUAGACCUCCUGGACUGAGCAAGGAAGGGAGUGGGAGCUCCUGCUGCAGAUGGGCGGAACAGUGACAAGGAGGACCGAAGGUGGCCAAAAAUAACAGGGCCUUCCAGAUGAGGCGACCUCAGAGCCAAGAGCAUCAUGGGGUAGAGUAUCUUGUUCCUAGUUUUAUGGCCUAAAAAGUACACAGAAGAUUCAAAGAUAUGACAGAGAGGAGGAAUAAAGUCUGCAAAGAACAAGGAAAUGUGACUAGCUAUCAUGCUUUUUUAAAACUGAGUUUCUCUGUGCACACAUAUACACAAGAAAACACGGGCCUUUUAUACAUAUAUGAAGAGAGACCUAGAUCCCUAGAAAGAUGGACGGAUGGAUAGAUAGAAAUAUUACAGAUAGACAGAAUAGAAUACAACAGAAGACCAAAAGGGAGAAAAAAGAUAAAGGUAAUGUUGCCUUCCGUUGUUUGUCGUUGAAAUAAAUUUAAUAAAUCUUCAUUGAGAACCAAGUAUGUCUGGUCCUUUCUGCACAGUUCUUCAUCCUAAAACUCACCACUGUAAAAACACAGCCACCGCCGUGUCCUGAUCGGUCAUGGUUCUGAGCAUCCAUGGAGAUGAGCUGAGCGCUCUCAAAGGCUUUUGUGAGCUUGAGGCUGGCAGGUAGCAGAGGCUGAUUUUUUAUAAGGCUUUUUGUCGCACUUCCGGAACUUGAUGCUGUCUGGGGGCGGGGAUGUCUGAGCCAGGUCAUUCCGUGUGCAGCCUGAGCCUCAUCACCAGCUCC